rnacentral:rRNA from 1 species
UACGGGGGGAGCAAGCGUUGUUCGGAUUUACUGGGCGUAAAGGGCGCGUAGGCGGUCAGCACAAGUCAGUUGUGAAAUCUCCGGGCCUAACCCGGAAACUGCGUUGGAUACUAUCCGACUAGAGGAAUGGAGGGGAGACUGGAAUACUUGGUGUAGCAGUGAAAUGCGUAGAUAUCAAGUGGAACACCAGUGGCGAAGGCGAGUCUCUGGACAUUUCCUGACGCUGAGGCACGAAAGCCAGGGGAGCAAACGGG